UACGAAGGGGGCGAGCGUUGUUCGGAAUUACUGGGCGUAAAGGGCGCGCAGGCGGCUCUGAAAGUCAGAUGUGAAAGCCCCGGGCUUAACCUGGGAACUGCAUUUGUGACUGCAAGGCUAGAGUACGGCAGAGGGGGAUGGAAUUCCGCGUGUAGCAGUGAAAUGCGUAGAUAUGCGGAGGAACACCGAUGGCGAAGGCAAUCCCCUGGGCCUGUACUGACGCUCAUGCACGAAAGCGUGGGGAGCAAACAGG
rnacentral:rRNA from 1 species